ACUAUACAUGCUCGCAUCUAGUUUCAUGCUAUUUCAAACGGGAGUGUGUACGUCUUUGAGUGUGUACGUACGUGUGCAGGUACGUACAGUAUACUCAAGGCAAGGACUACACUGUACUGCACUAGAACUGUGCGCGCGAUGUGUAUAUUUGAAUUCAGAGCGAAAAACCCGUUGCAUGAAGUAUCAUCCUCUCGUUUUCUCCUGCAAAUUUACAGUAUGGGCAUCCUUUUUUAACAUCUUUCGUCAAAGAAGUGGAUUCAAAGCACAUUGUGACCUCAGUAUUAUUGAUGUGCAACCAUGCAGAAAAUGCUACUUUCUCUCAACCUUGUGGAUGUUCCCUAAGGAUCAGCAGCCUCUUGAAACAGUUGAAGCCAUUAUCGAAUUCCUUGCGUCUAUGUUCCUUGGAUCUGAAAGCAGUGCAUAAUGCAGGAGAUUCCACCCAAAAGCUAACCCACAAGUCCAAGCUGAAGUGGAAUAUUUCGAAAAAUUUGAUCUACACUCACCUGAUAGCUUUACUGCUAGAGAAAGGUUAUUUUUUUCACUUCAUCAUAGAGAGAGAUUGGGGGAGGGGUGAGGUGUAACCACAAACCUGAAUGGCUAAGCUGUAGAACUAAAAUUCCCAUUCAUGUCACUUGCAAUUUUAAUGAAUUACAGGAUUUACAAACUGACAUAACGAUUUGGGUAAAAGUCUAAAAGAUUCCAGUAUUUUCCGUAUAUUUGUAAUUACUAUUUAUGAAGUUGACCUGUUUCAUAAUGCUUAUGUAGUAGACUUGAUAUGCUCAGUCUCAUGCUCACCCCCCCCCCCCCCACCCCAUCUGCUUCAUAUCAGUUCUUAAAAUCUGUUGCAAAUUAUACAUUGUAAGUUGGUAAUAGAGAAAAAUUGAGUGAGGUAAAUGCAAUACAAAUCGAUUCCAUUAUUAAGCAAUUAAGACUUGUUCAGGUACGGCACGUGAACCUCCAACAAAUUUCAAAAAUGAUGCUCUUUUUAAUAAUAUACACUAUGUAAAGCAUAUUGUACUCUAUGUCAACAUUAAAAAAACUGCGAUUUUGACUGUUUUGCAGCAUCAUAUCUGAGCGACCCUUAAAGGGACUUGGCAACAUUGUUCAGAUGAGAGAAAAUGGUGCUAAGGUAUUGACUUCAAUGCUAUAUGUACACUUAAAGAUAAUCUGAAAGUUUGAGUGAAAAAAACCCAUUAUUGAUGAUAAAAAAUGGGAACAACUGAUCUGAUCCAUUCCUUAAUUCUCUUAACUAUAUUAUUAUAAUUGGCCUGUUUUAUAUCUUAUUUUCAUGGAAAAACGGUUGGGGAAAAUUCAAAAAUUUGUUGGGAGAAUGAAGUGUUAAAGAGUGACACACAGUGGCGCCUUCAAAGAAAACCAUAAAUAUCUUUGUGGUUUGAGAAUUUUUUGGUAGUUAAAAGUCUAAAAUUCUUGGAUUGUAUCUGUGAUUUUGAGAGCACUAUAUGACGUACCUAUAUUGAAUUCGCUGUUAAAAUUAUAAGUUAAAAUUAUUUUUUUGUGAAACUCCCCCCAGGAGUUUCAAACGUGCCAAAUGAAUGUUGUGACAUUAGCAAUGGAAUAUAUCUCUUUGUGCUAAAAAUUUUCAGCAUGUUUGCUAUUUUAUCUUAAACUUGGAAAUAUCUUCUGAAUAAUUAUUGCACAGUCACCUUGGAAUUGCCCAACAGAGCCACUCGUACUGGCGGGAAUGUUAUCUGAUAGAAAUUGUAUUUUUAUACUUGAACUUAUUUUGCAACAAAAUGUUUUUUGAUGAUACCUAUAUUUAUAAAAUAUGAAUGUUGCCACUAAUGCCUUUUCUUGUAUUUAAGUCAUGUGCCAGUAAGAAGCAGGUUUCUAGCACAGAGAAUAGGUACAGUUGAGCUGAUUUCUGCACAGUUUUCAAAUAUGCUGUAUCGCCAAAUGUGAACAUCGUGGUUUCAACGGGCAAGCAACCAUCAUCAGAAAACUCUGCAGGUAUCAGUGAAGCUGUCCCUGUUCCCCUUGCUGCCAACUUGUUCCUUUUGAGUGUAAGAAAUAACUUAGCUAAGCCAUGUGUUUAUCAUUUGUGCCAUUUUUCUCUUGUGUGUGAUUUAGAUUGUAUAGUUUUAUACUUUAUACUGAAUUCUUGCCAUAAACUUAGAUAUUCCCCUUUUAUUUAACAAGUAUUGAUCUUUCAUGCUCAGGAAUUGCUUCCAACAACCUUUUGUUUUAUGUAAUAGUCUUUAUCUGCAUUAAAGUCUUGGGGUUGUGAGGAGCAGUGUUGCAGCAUGGAGACGAGGUAGAGCUGCACUGAUGAAUGCCCAGCUUUCCACUGUGCUGUUUUGCUGAAUAUGAGGAACUUCCUAAGUCUGCUGUUUUCUUGUCUACUAAACAACUGCGGGUAUCAGUGUAGCUUUACCUAGUCUCUAUGCUGCUAACCUGCUUCUCACAACCGCAAGACUUAUAAGUUACCAGGUAAGCCAAUAUAUGUCAUAGUUUCUUGUAACUGAAUUAAAUUUGAAAUGAAGUAGCACAAUUUAUAACAAAAAAAAUAUCUUUGUGAUGGCCUGUUAACUUUCUUAAAAUCAAUUAUGAGACUGACAGAAAUACACUAGGUAUUUAUACAGCAUGUUUUGGAAGAAGUGUCAGGAUGGUGAUGGAAAGAUUCUGUAUGUAUAGAAGACAAGUUAAAUAGAAGAAGGUAUAAAAAUAAAUAUUCUAUAUUUUUAUUAUCCAUUUUGAUACCAUAUACAUGUACAUUAAAAAUAUGAAAAUUA